UUCAUUAAUAUUCAUUCGAUAUAUCGCAAGAGUAACUGAGUAAGUGACGAUGCACCCCUGGCAUUGUGCCUAUCGGAGUGCAUAAUCAAAACAAAAACAAAAAACAGCUGAUUGGGAAUUGCAUUACAUGCAAAUUUUAUGCUGCCAAUUGCUGCUAUUAUACGAAAUGCAGAGGAGCGCAGAUAUUGAAGAUAGCGAAAUUGCAUUAACUGCAAGCUGACUAGCAGAGCACAUCAACUGCGGCAAGGAGAUUUAGCCAAGUUUAUUUAAGUUAGUUUUUAGUUAAUUCAAAAUGUGCAUCUUAGGCGCAAGUGCCGUCAGAUAUGUUCGCUGCACAUAUAUAUAUAUAUGUGCCGAAAAUAAAAUUUUGUAAUUGUAACUGAGUG
rnacentral:sRNA from 1 species